rnacentral:rRNA from 1 species
ACAGCAGUAGCCGCGGUAAUACGAAGGGGGCUAGCGUUGCUCGGAAUGACUGGGCGUAAAGGGCGCGUAGGCGGUUUAUACAGUCAGAUGUGAAAUUCCUGGGCUCAACCUGGGGACUGCAUUUGAUACGUAUGGACUUGAGUGGAGAAGAGGGUCGUGGAAUUUCCAGUGUAGAGGUGAAAUUCGUAGAUAUUGGAAAGAACACCGGUGGCGAAGGCGGCGACCUGGUCUUUAACUGACGCUGAGGCGCGAAAGCGUGGGGAGCAAACAGGAUUAGAUACCCCAGUAGUCCCUGUCUCUUAUAC